UACGAAGGGGGGCUAGCGUUGCUCGGAAUCACUGGGCGUAAAGGGUGCGUAGGCGGGUUUUUAAGUCAGAGGUGAAAUCCUGGAGCUCAACUCCAGAACUGCCUUUGAUACUGAAAGUCUUGAGUAUGGGAGAGGUGAGUGGAACUGCGAGUGUAGAGGUGAAAUUCGUAGAUAUUCGCAAGAACACCAAUGGCGAAGGCAGAUCUCUGGAACGCAACUGACGCUGAGACGCGAAAGCGUGGGGAGCAAACAGGG
rnacentral:rRNA from 1 species